rnacentral:rRNA from 1 species
UACCAGCACCCCGAGUGGUCGGGACGAUUAUUGGGCCUAAAGCAUCCGUAGCCGGUCAUGCAAGUCCUCCGUUAAAUCCACCUGCUUAACAGAUGGGCUGCGGAGGAUACUACAAGGCUGGGAGGCGGAAGAGGCAAGCGGUACUCAGUGGGUAGGGGUAAAAUCCUCUGAUCCAUUGAAGACCACCAGUGGCGAAGGCGGCUUGCCAAUACGCGCUCGACGGUGAGGAAUGAAAGCUGGGGGAGCAAACCGG